CCUACGGGAGGCAGCAGUGAGGAAUAUUGGUCAAUGGGAGAGAUCCUGAACCAGCCAAGCCGCGUGAGGGAAGACGGCCCUAUGGGUUGUAAACCUCUUUUGUCGGAGAACAAAACCCGGGACGUGUCCCGGACUGCGUGUAUCCGAAGAAAAAGCAUCGGCUAACUCCGUGCCAGCAGCCGCGGUAAUACGGAGGAUGCGAGCGUUAUCCGGAUUUAUUGGGUUUAAAGGGUGCGUAGGCGGUCCGUUAAGGCAGCGGUAAAAUGGCGGGGCUCAACCCUGUCGAGCCGUUGACACUGGCAGACUUGAGUUGGCGAGAAGUACGCGGGAUGCGCGGUGUAGCGGUGAAAUGCAUAGAUAUCGCGCAGAACUCCGAUUGCGAAGGCAGCGUACCGGCGCCAGACUGACGCUGAGGCACGAAAGCGUGGGGAUCGAACAGGAUUAGAUACCCGUGUAGUC
rnacentral:rRNA from 1 species